rnacentral:rRNA from 1 species
CUGCUGCCUUCCGUAGGAGUUUGGUCCGUGUCUCAGUACCAAUGUGGGGGGUUGACCUCUCAGUCCCCCUAUGUAUCGUCGCCUUGGUGAGCCGUUACCUCACCAACUAGCUAGUACAACGCAUGUCCAUCUCUGACCACCUGAGUUUUCAACCACCGAAGAUGCCUCCGGUGAUGUUAUGGGGUAUUAGUACCAAUUUCUCGAUGUUAUCCCCCUGUCAAAGGUAGGUUACAUACGCGUUACGCACCCGUCCGCCGGUCGCCGG